rnacentral:misc_RNA from 1 species
UCGUAUCAAACCGGGGUGCGUCCGGGUCGGCCCUGCACCGGCGGAAACGCCGUGCUGCGGGCUCCCGGCGUCCCUUCCACACCAAACCCCUGUGCACCUUUGGGAAGGCAGGCGCGGAGACGCGUCCUGUCGGCCCCUUUACAAACUCUGUAUCUCAUAGAAUGACCGCGGACCUCGUCCGCCUAAACACAUAA